AGGACGAACGCUGGCGGUGUGCUUCACACAUGCAAGUCGAACGGGGUAGCAAUACCCAGUGGCGGACGGGUGAGUAACACGUGGGAAUCUGCCUUUAGAUGGGGGAUAACUGACCGAAAGGUUAGCUAAUACCGCAUAUGCCGCAAGGUAAAAGGAGCAAUCCGUCUGAAGAUGAGCCCGCGUCCGAUUAGCUAGUUGGUAGGGUAAAAGCCUACCAAGGCUACGAUCGGUAGCUGGUCUGAGAGGAUGAUCAGCCACAAUGGGACUGAGACACGGCCCAUACUCCUACGGGAGGCAGCAGUGGGAAUUUGUGCAAUGGGGGAAACCCUGACACAGCGACACCGCGUGAGCGAAGAAGCCCCUUGGGGUGUAAAGCUCUGUCGACAGGGACGAAAAAAUGACGGUACCUGUAGAGGAAGCAUCGGCUAACUACGUGCCAGCAGCCGC
rnacentral:rRNA from 1 species